rnacentral:tmRNA from 1 species
GGGGAUGACCGGUUUUGACAGCGCGUAGAGGUGGUGUGUAAGCAUGCAGAGCAACGAUGCCUACGCUCUAUAAUCUGGGACAUCGCAAUUUUAAAUGGCGAGAAUAACUACGCUCUUGCUGCCUAAUCGAAGUACAGUAGAUUACGCUUAAUCUCCGCAACAGUUGCAGAGACAAGACAUCGCCCGAUUGUCCUUUUCCUGAGACUAAUCGACAAGGCGGUGCAGGUAAAUCGGGAAUAGGGGGCCGAAAGCCGCGAGAAGCCCCCGAAAUUUUAGCGGAUAAGGACGACGUUGGUGGUUUGGAGCCUGCGGCGUCACGAAAAUCAAGUCCGAACUAAGCAUGUAGAAAGCGCAUUAGUUCCGCGUUUGGACGAGGGUUCAAGUCCCUCCAUCUCCACU